GCUUGCGUGGCCAAGUGGUAAGGCGUCCCACUCGUAUUUCUCGCGCAAUGGGAAGAUCAGCGGUUCAAUUCCGCUCGUGAGCA
rfam:Pyronema omphalodes CBS 100304, CBS100304, WGS project CATG01000000 data, contig: Pcon_v1_contig194